UACAUAGGGGGCGAGCGUUAUCCGGAAUUAUUGGGCGUAAAGCGUGCGUAGGCGGUUUAUUAAGUCUGACGUGAAAUCCCACAGCUUAACUGUGGAGGGUCGUUGGAAACUGGUAGGCUUGAGUACAGUAGAGGUAAGUGGAAUUCCAAGUGGAGCGGUGGAAUGCGUAGAUAUUUGGAGGAACACCAGUGGCGAAGGCGGCUUACUGGGCUGGAACUGACGCUGAUGCACGAAAGCGUGGGGAGCAAACAGGAUUAGAUACC
rnacentral:rRNA from 1 species